rnacentral:rRNA from 1 species
GACGAACGUUGGCGGCGUGCUUAAUACAUGCAAGUCAACUGAAGCAGUGGUAGCAAUAUCGCUGUGGAGGUGGCGCACGGGUGAGUAACACGUAGGUAAUCUGCCUUCAGGUCUGGCAUAACUCCGGGAAACCGGGGCUAAUAGCAGAUGAUGCAGCGGCUCGACAUCGAGACAGUUGUUAAAGCUAUGGCGCCUGAAGAUGAGCCUGCGUCUGAUUAGCUAGUUGGCGGGGUAACGGCCCACCAAGGCAACGAUCAGUAGCUGGUCUGAGAGGAUGAUCAGCCACACUGGAACUGAGACAAGGUCCAGACUACUACAGGAGGCAGCAGUAAGGAAUAUUGCGCAAUGGGAGAAAUCCUGAAGCAGCAACGCCGCGUGAGGGACGAAGGGCUUUUGCUUGUAAACCUCUGUAGUGAGAGAAAAAAAUCCCAAUCUUUGGGACAUGAUGGUAUCUCAAAAGUAAGCCCCGGCUAACUACGUG